rnacentral:rRNA from 1 species
GUUAGUUGCUAUGGGCGUUCGGUGGAUGUCUUGGCAUGAGUGGCUGAUGAAGGACGUGGCGGCCUGCGUUAUUCCCUGGGGAGUUGGCGAGCGAGCGUUGAUCUGGGGGUUUCCGAAUGGGGUAACCUAGCCUCCUGUUUGGGGGUUACUGCGCACUGAAUUGAUAGGUGUGUGGGAGGUACGAGGGGAAGUGAAACAUCUUAGUACCCUUAGGAGAAGAUAUUUCGUGAGUAGUGGUGAGCGAAAGCGGAUGAUGGCUAAACCGUGUGCGUGUGAUACUCGGCAGGGGUUGCGUGUGCGGUGUUGUGGGGUCUUUUUGUUGCUUGUCUGCCGGCGAGUAGAUUCCGGGAUGAUUGUUUUGGCGAAGGGUUUGGAAUGGCCUGCCGUAGUGCGUGAGAGUCGUGUAGUUUUUGAUGAUUGUUCUGGUUUGGAGAAGGUGCCCGAGUAGUGCGGGACUCGUGGAAUCUCGUGUGAAUCUGCCCAGACCACUGGGUAAGCCUGAAUACUUACUUGUGACCGAUAGUGGAUUAGUACCGUGAGGGAAUGGUGAAAAGUACCCCGGGAGGGGAGUGAAAUAGUUCCUGAAACCGGGCGCUUACAAGCCGUCAGAGCCUGUUUGUUGGGUGAUGGCGUGCCUAUUGAAGAAUGAGCCUGCGAGUUAGUGGCAUGUGGCUUGGUUAACCCGUGUGGGGUAGUCGUAGCGAAAGCGAGUCUGAUAAGGGCGUUUGGUCGCGUGUUCUAGACCCGAAGCGGGGUGAUCUACGCAUGGUCAGGUUGAAGCUAUGGUAAGACGUGGUGGAGGACCGAACCCACUUCAGUUGAAAAUGGAGGGGAUGAACUGUGCGUAGGGGUGAAAGGCCAAUCAAACUCCGUGAUAGCUGGUUCUCCCCGAAAUGCAUUUAGGUGCAGCGUUGAGUUUAGGUUUGUGUGAGGUAGAGCUACUGGUUGGUCAAUGGGCCUUGUUGGUUACUGAGACCAGCCAAACUCCGAAUGCGCAUUAAACUAUUGCUUGGCAGUGAGACAGCGGGGGAUAAGCUUCGUUGUCAAAAGGGAAACAGCCCAGAUCGCCGGUUAAGGCCCCUAAGGGUAUGCUUAGUGGGAAAGGAUGUGUAGUUGCUGUGACAGCCAGGAGGUUGGCUUAGAAGCAGCCAUCCUUGAAAGAGUGCGUAAUAGCUCACUGGUUUAGUGAUUGCGCGCCGAUAAUUUAGCGGGGCUUAAGCAUACCGCCGAUACCGUGGCUUCCAUACGUGUGCUGGCUGCUCUUUGUUGGGUGGUUGGUGUGUGGUUGGGUAGGGGAGCGUCCUGCAUGAGGUGAAGUUUCGGAGUGAUCCGGGGUGGAUUGUGUGGGAGUGAGAAUGCAGGCAUGAGUAGCGAUUGAGAAGUGAGAAUCUUUUCCGUCUUAUAACUAAGGGUUCCAGGGGUAGGUUCGUCCGCUCUGGGUUAGUCGGGUCCUAAGGCGAGGCCGUCAGGCGUAGUCGAUGGUUAACCAGUUUUUAUUCUGGUACCGGCAUAUUCUCGUUCAGUGGUGAGGCGCAUAGUACUAACCAAUAUUUACUGCUGGUUUUCCCUUUCGGGGGUUUGCUGGUGGUGGUCUUGGGACCGAUGUGUGUAGUAGUCAAGCGUGUUAACAGGGGUGACGCAGUUAGAUAGCUCAGCGUCGUGAUGGUUUACGGCGUUCAAGCAUGUGGCCUAUCGGGUUGGUAAAUCCGCUCGUGUUUGGGUGAGGUGUGAUGGUGACCUGUUUUUGUGGGGAUAUUGGGUGAUUCUGUGCUGUCUAGAAAAGCCUCGGCGUUAGAGGGUGUGUUGCCCGUACCCUAAACCGACACAGGUGGUUUGGUAGAGAAUACUAAGACGUGCGAGUGAAUCAUGGUUAAGGAACUCGGCAAAAUGCCUCCGUAACUUUGGGAGAAGGAGGACCCGGCCUUUUACAUUACCUUUGCGGUUUUGGUGGGGGUUGGGGCGCAGAGACCAGGGGGAAGCGACUGUUUAUCAAAAACAUAGGUGUGUGCGAAGCCGUAAGGCGAUGUAUACGCACUGACGCCUGCCCGGUGCUGGAAGGUUAAGAGGAACCCUUAAUCGGCUUUUGUUGGUGAAGGGGUGAAUUUAAGCCCCAGUAAACGGCGGUGGUAACUAUAACCAUCCUAAGGUAGCGAAAUUCCUUGUCGGGUAAGUUCCGACCUGCACGAAUGGCGUAACGA